rnacentral:lncRNA from 1 species
AAAUUAUUUUAUGAUUUUCUUUGCUUUCCACUUACCAAUAGUUUCAGAGUUGGAAACUUAAUCCCCAGAUUUAUAAUGUUUGGAGAUAGGGCCUUUGUAAAAUAAUUAGGAUUAGAUGAGGUCAUGAGGGUAGAGACCCUAUGAUGACAUUUAUCAGAAGAGGAAGAGAGACCUCAGCUAGCAGGCUUGCUCUGUCUCUCCAUGUGAUGCCCUCUGUCAUGUUAUGAUACAGUAGGAAGGCCCUUACCAAAUGCCAAAGCCAUGGUUUUGGACUUUCUAGCUUCCAGAACCAUGAGGUGAAUAAACCUCUGUUUUUUAUAAAUUACCCAGUCUGUAGUACUUAAUUAUAGCAGCAGAAAAUGGAGUAAGAUAUUACUGCAGCUCAUUGUUAAGUCCUGGAUUUAUUUUCUAUGCAUAUUCACUAGUACUUUCAGCUUUCAGUAAGAAUCUGUUGUGUUGUAAAAAUUUCUAAAUCCUGGAUAUUUGAAUAAAAAGUCUUAUUUUCAUCCUCUCAUCUCAAUGGUAUACUGGCUGAUCAUAGGAAUUUUGACUUGAACUUCUUUCUCUUCAGCAAACUAAAGAUAUUGUUCAAUAUCUUUUUCGUCCCGUAUUGUUCAUGAAAAAUACAGAGCCAGAUAUGAUUACUUUGUCCAUAAAAUUACUUUGGCCAGUCUUUUUCUUAUCCUCUCUGGAGGCUUCAGCAGUUUUUCUUCAUAUUUGUAGCCUCAAGCAUAUUGACUAUCUCCUUAACUUGUACAUAUGUAGGGCCUUUUUUUUCUGAUUACUUAUUCAUCAUUCAUUCAUUCAUUUAAAUCUUGUUCUACAGUUGUUGGACAAUUUCAGCCUGAGGACUUAUAUCUAUCCUAUUAUUUAUCCAGAUCUUAACCACUUCUAUUCUCAUUAUUAUUUGAUAAAUAAAUAUUAUGAUUUACAGAACUUUCUUCCAUCACCACGUCCUGCUUUC